rnacentral:rRNA from 1 species
CACCAACUAGCUAGCCCUCCCCCAAAAACAACUAACCACUAUUAAUAACCCCAAACGAACGAACACCCGUAAGACAAACCAUUUUUCCCCCUAAGUAUGGGCGACAGAAAAGGAGCAAAGGAGCAAUAGAAAAGUACCGUAAGGGAACGCUGAAAGAGAAAUGAAACAACCCAGUAAAGUAAAAAAAAGCAAAGAUUAACCCUUGUACCUUUUGCAUCAUGAUUUAGCCAGUGUAAAUUAAGCAAAGAGUACUUUAGUUUAACAACCCGAAACUAGGUGAGCUACUCCAAGACAGCCUAAAUUGUAGGGCGAACCCGUCUCUGUUGCAAAAGAGUGGGAAGAGCUUCGAGUAGAGGUGACAAGCCUACCGACCCUAGUGAUAGCUGGUUGCUUAAGAAUUGGAUAUGAGUUCAGCCUCCAGGCUUCUUUGUUCAGACCCAGUAGUACUUUGUAAGAUAGAGAGAACACCAGGAGAGUAAGUCAAAGGGGGUACAGCUCCUUUGACCCAAGACACAACUUUUACAGGAGGAUAAAGAUCAUA